AACUAAGGAGCCAAAACUUAUAUCUCGAUCUGAUAAAAUGGUUGACAAAGCCAGCGUUGUUUACGUGAUUCCCAUCCUUUUAUUGCUAUUGUUCUCAUCCAAAAUAGUCUUUGCCAAUGUUUCUGAACAUCCAAAGCACAAUGAUGUAGAGAAGAUGUUCAGUAGGUUGCGUAUGCAAAUGAAGAUUAUUCAUGCAAAGAAAGUAGGCGUACCAGUUCCGGGUAGGUCGCCUGGAGUUCCCAAAAAAGCUAAACACAAUAACUAAGUAGGGGAAGAGAUCUUCUCCGGAUCUCUCCCACCAAAUCCACCAAACUCAGUGAUCCGGACAUUUUAAAUUUGAUUCAAUGACUAAAAGCAGAGACUCUUUUAAAAGUUAUAAUAACUUUAACCGUUGGAUCAAAUUUCAAGGGUCCGAAUAACUGGAUUUGGUGGACGUGAUGGGGGAGAUCCGGAGAGGAUCUCUUCCCACUAAGUAGUACUUUGGUUUAUUUUCAUGUUAGGAUAACUUUUGUAGCCUUCUUUUUUACUUUGUGUUGAUGAAUAAGAAUAAUAGUUUGUAAUUGAUUUUUAUUAUUUCUUUGAUUAGUUAAUAUAGUAUCCAAAUGGGAUCGACCCUUGAGAUUCAAUA